UAACACAUUCCACAGUAGGAUCAUUUCUAUAGGAAUCGUCACUCUUUGACUCUUCAAAAGAGCCACUGAAUCCAACUUGGUUGAUGAGUCGCAGAACCUUCGUACCCUAGAGUGAGACCGAAGAUGUAAACUAGCUUGGUCCACAACCCUUAGCGGUUUGGCCAUCUACGCAGCUCUUUGUUUUGCCUUUUGCAUAGGAUGCAAGAACACUUGUGUUUGCGCAUCUGCUCAAAAAGGCGCGAUGAUCUUGGCCCAGUUUAUGCACUUCUUCGUGAAGGGAUAAACACUACUGGGUGGGUAUGAAUGGCAGUCUGACAAGU
rnacentral:snoRNA from 1 species